CUCUACAGAUCCUAUCUUCUUCUAAAAUGGAACUUUAAGUAAAAGGUCAGUGGUAUUCUCUGGAAAUACUUGGUUUGGUGAUAACACAAUAAGCUUCCCAAAAUAUGAGGGUAAUUGGGAUCCAGGUGAGAAAGAACUUAGUGAUAAAGACUUAUAUAAAGUAAAUGAUCCCCAAGUGCAAAAGAUUUGCUUCAUACAUGGGAAUAGCCAGUAAGAAAAUCAAGAAGAGCUACAAGAGGAAGUGAGAGGGACAACAUCAAAAACCACAGAAAGGGAUAUGCUAGCUGCUGUCCAAACAUAUUUAUUAAGUGCCUACUAUGAGUCAGUCCCUGUGCUAAGCUUUGGGGAUGCAAAAAGAGGACAAGACAACCCUUGACCUUAAUAAGUUUACAAUCUAUAGGGGGAGGCUAUAUAUAAAGCAGAAUGUAAUCCUGGGUUCAAAUCCAAGCUUUGUCAUUUAUCAGCUAGCUGAAUGACCUGAAUAACUGUUAAUUUAAUUACACACUUUUCCAUUUUUUCAUUUGUACAUUAUGGAUAAGUUGUUAUUAGGUAAGAAUCAAUCAGUCCUGUCAGGCUAUAGUCACAGUAGAAUGACAAAUUUGGAGUCAGAAGACCUGGGUUCCUCAUCAGCAUUGGAGGAGAGAGUUUCCUCCCAGUCAGAUAGAUCCCUGUGCUAGUAAAGUACAAGCAAAAAUAAUGGGGAGGAGGAAUAAAGGAAGGAAGAAAGGAAGGAAGAAGGAAGGAAGGAAGGAAGGAAGGAAGGAAGGAAGGAAGGAAGGAAGGAAGGAAGGAAGGAAGGAAGGAAAGGAGGAAGGAAGGAAAGAAGGAAGCAAGGAAGGAAGGAAGCAAGGAAGGAAGCAAGGAAGCAAGGAAGGAAGGAAGGGCCUCUCUGGACCUCAAUUUCAUUAUCUGUAAAUUGAGAAUCUUUUCCAUCUGUAAAUCUGUAAUUCCAAGGUUGAACAUCAGCUGCUGAUGACCAUUGAUGGAAAGAGAUUCCUCCCAGGAUUGGGAGUUCCCUAUACUAAUAAAAUCACAGGUAUAAACA
rnacentral:lncRNA from 1 species